GAACGAACGCUGGCGGCGUGCUUAACACAUGCAAGUCGAACGCGAAAGGGGCUUCGGUCCUGAGUAGAGUGGCGCACGGGUGAGUAACGCGUAGAUAACCUGUCCUGGUGUCUGGAAUAAUAUCUCGAAAGGGGUGCUAAUACCGGAUAUUCUUGCUUUCUAUAAGGUAUGCAAGGAAAGGUGGCCUCUGGAACAAGCUACUGCACGAGGAGGGGUCUGCGUACCAUUAGCUAGUAGGUGGGGUAAUGGCCUACCUAGGCGACGAUGGUUAGCGGGUCUGAGAGGAUAAUCCGCCACACUGGUACUGAAACACGGACCAGACUCCUACGGGAGGCAGCAGUGAGGAAUAUUGCGCAAUGGGGGCAACCCUGACGCAGCGACGCCGCGUGAGUGAGGAAGGCCUUCGGGUCGUAAAGCUCUGUCAAAGGGGAAGAAGUGCAUGAUGGUUAAUAUCUGUCGUGUUUGACGGUACCCUUAAAGGAAGCACCGGCUAACUCCGUGCCAGCAGCCGCGGUAAUACGGAGGGUGCAAGCGUUGUUCGGAAUCACUGGGCGUAAAGGGCGCGCAGGCGGUUUGAAUAGUCAGAUGUGAAAGCCCACGGCUUAACCGUGGAAGUGCAUUUGAAACUGUCAGACUUGAGUACCAGAGGGGAAAGUGGAAUUCCCGGUGUAGAGGUGAAAUUCGUAGAUAUCGGGAGGAAUACCGGUGGCGAAGGCGACUUUCUGGCUGGAUACUGACGCUGAGGCGCGAAAGCGUGGGGAGCAAACAGGAUUAGAUACCCUGGUAGUCCACGCUGUAAACGAUGUGCACUAGAUGUAGGGGGUGUUGAUCCCCUCUGUGUCGCAGCUAACGCAUUAAGUGCACCGCCUGGGGAGUACGGUCGCAAGGUUAAAACUCAAAGGAAUUGACGGGUCCCCGCACAAGCAGCGGAGCGUGUGGUUUAAUUCGAUGCUACACGAAGAACCUUACCUGGGUUUGACAUAGAGGUAGUAGGGAAGCGAAAGCGGACCGACCCUUCGGGGAGCCUCUACAGGUGUUGCAUGGCUGUCGUCAGCUCGUGUCGUGAGAUGUUCGGUUAAGUCCGCUAACGAGCGCAACCCUCGCUGUGUGUUACAAGUGUCACACGGUACUGCCGAUAUUAAGUCGGAGGAAGGUGGGGAUGACGUCAAGUCAGCAUGACCUUUAUAUCCAGGGCUACACACACGCUACAAUGGCCAGUACAAUGGGUUGCCAAGCCGCGAGGCGGAGCCAAUCCUAAAAAGCUGGCCUCAGUUCAGAUUGCAGUCUGCAACUCGACUGCAUGAAGUUGGAGUUGCUAGUAACCGCAGGUCAGCAAUACUGCGGUGAAUACGUUCCCGGGGAU
rnacentral:rRNA from 1 species